rnacentral:rRNA from 1 species
AUUGAACGCUGGCGGCAGGCCUAACACAUGCAAGUCGACGAGUGGCGAACGGGUGAGUAACACGUGAGUAACCUGCCCUCCACUUUGGGAUAACUCCGAGAAAUCGGGGCUAAUACUGGAUAGUGGGGGAUGGGCUCGCGGCCUAUAAGUUUGUUGGUGAGGUAGUGGUCACCAAGGCGUGACGGGUAGCCGGCGUGAGAGGGCGACCGGCCCCACUGGGACUGAGACACGGCCCAGACUCCUCCGGGAGGCAGCAGUGGGGAAUAUUGCACAAUAGGCGAAAGCCUGAGGCAGCGACGCGGCGUGGGGAAUGACGGCCUUCGGGUUGUAAACCUCUUUCAGCAAGGAAGCGGUACUUGCAGAAGAAGCGCCGGCUAACUACGUGCCAGCAGCCGCGGUAAUUC